GUACCUGACUAAGAAGCCCCGGCUAACUACGUGCCAGCAGCCGCGGUAAUACGUAGGGGGCAAGCGUUAUCCGGAUUUACUGGGUGUAAAGGGAGCGUAGACGGCUGUGCAAGUCUGAAGUGAAAGGCAUGGGCUCAACCUGUGGACUGCUUUGGAAACUGUGCAGCUAGAGUGUCGGAGAGGUAAGUGGAAUUCCUAGUGUAGCGGUGAAAUGCGUAGAUAUUAGGAGGAACACCAGUGGCGAAGGCGGCUUACUGGACGAUGACUGACGUUGAGGCUCGAAAGCGUGGGGAGCAAACAGGAUUAGAUACCCUGGUAGUCCACGCCGUAAACGAUGACUGUUAGGUGUCGGGUAGCAAAGCUAUUCGGUGCCGCAGCUAACGCAAUAAGCAGUCCACCUGGGGA
rnacentral:rRNA from 1 species